rnacentral:rRNA from 1 species
GACGAACGCUGGCGGCGUGCCUUAUACAUGCAAGUCGAACGCAGUGGGGACGGGUGAGUAACACGUGGGUAACCUCCCAUCAGAGGGGAUAACACUAGGAAACCGGUGCUAAACCGAUACUGAUGGAUGGACCCGCGGUGCAUUAGCUAGUUGGUGAGGUAACGGCUCACCAAGGCCACGAUGCAUAGCCGACCUGGGAGGGUGAUCGGCCGCGCUGGGACUGAGACACGGCCCAGACUCCUACGAGAGGCAGCAGUAGUGAAUCUUCGGCAAUGUACGAGAGUAUGACCGGGCAACGCCGCGUGAGUGAAGAAGGUUUUCGGGUCGUAAAACUCUGUUGUUAGAAGAGAGAUAUCUAAACGGAAAGCAGCGGCUGACUACGUGCCAGCAGCCGCGGUAAUUC